UUGCCAAUGAUGAUAUCUUUAUACCAAAUUACCAUCUUUCGGGACUGAAUGGCUUGAGAGCCUUGCUGUUAUUCUGCAAUUCUGAGGCAC